UGGGGAAUUUUGCACAAUGGGGGAAACCCUGAUGCAGCGACGCCGCGUUAUUUAGAAGGCCUUCGGGUUGUAAAAAUCUUUUCUAUGGGAAGAAAAUGACAGUACCAUAGGAAUAAGGACCGGCUAAUUACGUGCCAGCAGCCGCGGUAAUACGUAAGGUCCGAGCGUUGUCCGGAAUCAUUGGGCGUAAAGGGUACGUAGGCGGGUAAGCAAGUUAGAAGUGAAAUCCUAUAGCUCAACUAUAGUAAGCUUUUAAAACUGCUCAUCUUGAGGUAUGGAAGGGAAAGUGGAAUUCCUAGUGUAGCGGUGAAAUGCGCAGAUAUGAGGAGGAAUACCGGUGGCGAAGGCGACUUUCUGGCCAUAACCUGACGCUGAGGUAGGAAAGCGUGGGUAGCAAACAGG
rnacentral:rRNA from 1 species